GAUGGACGGACCGCUGGUGCACCUGUUGGCGACCAACGCCAUAGCAGGGUAGCCAAGUCCGGCAGGGAUAAACGCUGAAGGCAUCUAAGCGUGAAGCCCCCCUCAAGAUGAGAUAUCCCAACUAGUAAGAUCCCUCAGAGAGUAUGAGGUAGAUAGGCUGGAGGUGGAAGUGCAGUAAUGUAUGCAGCUGACCAGUACUAAUCGAUCGAGGGCUUAUCCAA
rnacentral:rRNA from 1 species